AUUGAACGCUGGCGGCAGGCCUAACACAUGCAAGUCGAACGGUAACAGAAAGCAGCUUGCUGCUUUGCUGACGAGUGGCGGACGGGUGAGUAAUGUCUGGGAAACUGCCUGAUGGAGGGGGAUAACUACUGGAAACGGUAGCUAAUACCGCAUAACGUCGCAAGACCAAAGAGGGGGACCUUCGGGCCUCUUGCCAUCGGAUGUGCCCAGAUGGGAUUAGCUAGUAGGUGGGGUAAAGGCUCACCUAGGCGACGAUCCCUAGCUGGUCUGAGAGGAUGACCAGCCACACUGGAACUGAGACACGGUCCAGACUCCUACGGGAGGCAGCAGUGGGGAAUAUUGCACAAUGGGCGCAAGCCUGAUGCAGCCAUGCCGCGUGUAUGAAGAAGGCCUUCGGGUUGUAAAGUACUUUAAGCGUGGAGGAAGGGAGUAAAGUUAAUACCUUUGCUCAUUGACGUCACCCGCAGAAGAAGCACCGGCUAACUCCGUG
rnacentral:rRNA from 1 species